UUCACACUAAAUAAGCGUAUCUUCGCCUAGCUUUAGAAAAAGCAGCUUUAUCUACUACUGUUCGAUGCUCCUCUUUUUCCUCUUUAAUUUAUUUUCAAGAUGAACUCGAUUUUACAUUGGCUCUAAUGGUUAAUGGUUUGUCUUAAUUUCUAUAGUAAUUCCGAUGAAAAUUUUCAUCACUCAAAUAAAUUAAAGGUAUUAAAUAUGUCUAAUUCAGUAAAUGGUACAGUAAAGUGGUUUAACGAAGAUAAAGGUUUUGGUUUUAUCACGCCAGAAAACGGCGGUAAGGACGUAUUCGUUCAUUUCCGUUCAAUUGUAUCAGAAGGUUAUAAGUCUCUUUCUGAAGGCCAGCAGGUAGCAUUUGUUAUCGAGCAAGGUCAGAAAGGACCACAGGCGAGCAACGUAGUUCCUGCGUAAUCGACCUCAGAAAAAGGACCGUCCGGUCCUUUUUCAAAG
rnacentral:sRNA from 1 species